GCGAUUCUCCUGCCUCAGCCUCCCAAGUAGCUGGGAUUACAGGUUUAUGGAGAAGUAAAUUAUCCAAAGCACAUGGAAGAAUCCUCAAGCCUGCAAAUACUAUGACAUAAGUAAGGAUUGACAAACAAGCUCCAGUGACACUGUUUUAUAUUGCCUAUCUACUUAGAAACCAUACCUGCCAAAGAACACAACUGCAUUCACUGAGUGUCACGAACUUAACUCAUAUCACAGGAAGAGAGACUAAAGUCUGUCAACACAUCUGGACAGGGUUUUCUCACAAUUAUUUUCUCUGCUGGCCCAAUAGACUUUGUACCAGGCUGUUGUGUGUUCUCCAAACCCUUUGAAUCCCCCUAAAAAUAAUUUACUAGCCCUCAAAUUGUCACAUUUUAUGCAUCUCUCUUUCCCCAAUGAAUAAUGGUAUAUAACAUCUGUACACCAUUUGGUUAUUGGGAAAUCAUUCUCCUCUAAUUCCUCGAUGCUAUGCUAAAAUACAAUUUCGUAUGUCUUUUCUGCCACUAAUCUACCUUUCGUCAGUUGAUGUUUCAGUAGAGUUUUAGAGGGUAAAAGCUGAGUUUUAUCUUCACCCCUUCAGUUUUGGCACGAUGAGCAAGGAUAACUCAAAACCACUCUGCUCUUCUGGAAGCCACAGUCAAGGGAACCCAGGACCUGACAAGCUGGCAGAAGGACAAGAAAUUCUUGCCAGCCAGACUC